GUGUGGACAGCCUACACCAAGGGAAGAGUCAGGGGAGAAGGAACACAAGACUCCGGAAGCAUGCCAGCGUAUAAAACCACUUGGGACAGAACUGGAGUCAGAGAUACCAAUUUGGGAAGGAGAAGGAUCUAGUGACAGAAACUUGGGAGUGCCCAGUGGACACUUUGCCUCAUUGGUUCGUGCCUCAGCUUCCAAUCUGGACAUGGAGCACAAUAACAGUGGGCCCACUGCUCUCCGAAUUCCUGCGCGCACUUGAAGGGAGUGUCUGGUGCAGGCAUGCAGGGAGGAAGAAUGACUCUGAGCUUGACCAUUCAACUUCGAAACUUUAACAUCAAUGGAUCAGCACACACUGGUGUACGGUCUGCUAUGCAUGCAGCCCUGUGCUAGGCAAAAGAAGUAUCAGACCAGGAACUGACAGCCUCACUGCAACAGGAAGAGAGGCUUCACACAAUAAGCGUUUCAUUCAACCAGGCUGGACCUGUGCUUAUUGAGUUGAACAUCACUGAGCACAAAAUGCAAGCCAGACACCAUAAGAGCUGUAAGGAUGAUAAAGAUGUCUUUCUACC
rnacentral:lncRNA from 10 species